GCAUACAGUGUUAUAGUAAUUUCAGGUAUACAAUGUAGUGAUUCAAUAAUUCAAUACAUUACUCAGUGUUCUUCAAGAUAAGUACACUCUUUAAUUCUCUUCACCUAUUUCACUCAUCUCCCCACCCACCUCCCCUCUGGUGACUGUCAGUUUGUUCUUGUAUCAGUAAGAGUCCGUUUUUGGUUUGUCUCUUUUUUUACCUUUGCUCAUUUAUUAUGUUUCGUAAAUUCAAAUGUGUAGGCUUAUGAAAUGGAUUCUUAUAGGCAUAAUAAUAAAAGGAAAAUGUUUUUAUUUUUACCUGUGAUAAAAACAGGUAAAAAACAUACACCGUGACACAGAUAGGACCCGCUGAAAAUGUCAACUAAAGGCCAGCCCAGGUGCCAGAUGGAUGACCUUCCUCAGCCAGUAUGGGGAACAGCUCCAACAAGACACCAUAGUCUCCUGCUUUGCUAGGACCUUGAGAAAUAAAUUGAACCAGCAGUUCCACAGAUAGACUGUCAUCCUGAAGAUUAUCGUUUUCCUCACAUUUCCAAGGCUGCCGGACCCCUGACGGCGGUGACUCUGUCUAUUUAGACACAUCUUUGUUCCUGGCACCUGGCCCACGAUUUGCUGGAUGAAUGCCUGAACAAAUAUAUG